GUCAGUAUGGUUUAGUGGUUUGAGUGCUGGACUAUGACUCCAGGAUACCAGGGUUUGAAUCCCCAUCCGGCCC